rnacentral:rRNA from 1 species
CCUACGGGAGACUGCAGUGAGGAAUAUUGGUCAAUGGGCGAGAGCCUGAACCAGCCAAGUAGCGUGAAGGAUGACUGCCCUAUGGGUUGUAAACUUCUUUUAUAUGGGAAUAAAAUGUUCCACGUGUGGGAUUUUGUAUGUACCAUAUGAAUAAGGAUCGGCUAACUCCGUGCCAGCAGCCGCGGUAAUACGGAGGAUCCGAGCGUUAUCCGGAUUUAUGGGGUUUAAAGGGAGCGUAGGUGGAUUGUUAAGUCAGUUGUGAAAGUUUGCGGCUCAACCGUAAAAUUGCAGUUGAAACUGGCAGUCUUGAGUACAGUAGAGGUGGGCGGAAUUCGUGGUGUAGCGGUGAAAUGCUUAGAUAUCACGAAGAACUCCGAUUGCGAAGGCAGCUCACUGGACUGCAACUGACACUGAGGCUCGAAAGUGUGGGUAUCAAACAGGAUUAGAUACCCUUGUAGUC